AUAGAAUGGCAACUUGCAAGAUCCUAUUUUUUAUCCUUCUGCACUGUGUAUCUUGUGGGAAAUGUGAUUUGUUUUAUAAGCAAGUCGGUGAUGAGGUUUCCAUGAAUUGUGGAUUAAAUACAAACAGUGAUAUAGAAUGGAAAUUUAACGACAUUCUCAUCUUUAACAUCAAAAGCAAAAGUGGAACUAAACUGAAGGGUUCUUUCCAUAUUGCAUCAAAAGCAAGUACAAACGGAGAAAAUUU